rnacentral:rRNA from 1 species
UACGUAGGGUGCAAGCGUUAUCCGGAAUUAUUGGGCGUAAAGAGCUCGUAGGCGGUUUGUCGCGUCUGCUGUGAAAACUGGAGGCUCAACCUCCAGCCUGCAGUGGGUACGGGCAAACUAGAGUGCGGUAGGGGAGAUUGGAAUUCCUGGUGUAGCGGUGGAAUGCGCAGAUAUCGGGAGGAACACCGGUGGCGAAGGCGGCGACCUGGGUCGAUACUGACGCUGAGGUGCGAAAGCGUGGGGAGCAAACAGG